UUGCAGCAUCAAUGGUGAAGCUUGGUAAUGUUGGAGUACUGACUGGGAAAAACGGGCAAAUAAGGAAGAAAUGCGGAUCUGUGAACUAAAAAUAAUGGUUCAGUUCUCUCUAUGAAAGCAUAGUAUUCUAGUCAUGGACUUGUUAGUAAUGGAACCAUAAACGAACGAAUAAUUAGUUUAGUGUCCAGGUAUUUAUCUCACUCUAGCAAUUGAGGGGAGAACCAAAUGUAGCAUAUUCUAAUAUUAAUGAAUAUAAGCACUAACUAAUUAAUUUUCAGCAUGAUACGUGAAGGGUAACAUUGUUUUUGGAAAAUAUCUAGAAUAUUAUAUUGUCAUGCAAACUGUUAAUCUGAAUCAAAAAUCUAACAAAGAUUUAUUUUAUCAACGGUUUAGUUUGACAGUUAAUCAACAAUAUGCAGUAUUUUACAACAAGGUGAUUGUAUAGACUAGAAGUAGAAAUCCUAUAGGAUCUAGAAGAUUUUUUUCCUUGUAUAACUUGUAUUACUUGGAGGGCAAGUAAAGCCCAACAUCAUUAGUAUAGAUAAAAACACUAGGGAUGAAGAAUAAUACACAAAAUUCCUCUCCCUCAAAUUUUAGUUUUACAACACGUGUUGUAGACCAAUUUUAGAGAGAGAAGGGAGAAAAGCUUGAGGAAUUAUGUGAUGAUACUCCUUAUGCCUUGUACCUUUAUUUAAACUAAAAAUGGGUUUUAUGUUUAAUAAGAGAUUAUUUUCAAGUACAUGAAUAAUGAAACAAACAAAAAAAAUACAAUUUUUUUAUAUCUGUUAUAAAUAUUAUAUUAAAGUGUGAUUAUGUAAAUCCUAAAUAUAUUUUUUGUUAUGAGUUAUUCAUUCCCUACUAGGAUUGUAUUUACUGGUAGGACAAGUAAUUCAUCUCCUCUUUACUACUAUAUAAAUAAGGGCAUUGUGUAGUGGGUAUAACAACAUCUCAUACACAUAGAGAAAUCCCUACACCUUCUCCACUCUCCCUCUUGCUGCACCCUGUCUCUCUCCUUGUUAGUUAAAUAGGCCAUAAUACAUAUCAACACACUCUUCCGCUGCACUAAAGAAUUUGACAUGGAAUUUUCUACCACAAACCAGUUCAUCAAUAUUAUCACACAAUCAAAUUCUUUUAAAACAACAGUUUUUAUUUCGAUAUUUUUGCAAUCAUGAUAUCAUAAACAUUCACUAUAAUGCAUGACCUAACUUUACGUUUACGAAUUUUAGAUUCUACAUAAAUUGUACAUGCAUUAUAGCCAUAAUUGUUGGAUUAUGUGAAUUGAUAUUGAUUAUGCAUGCAAGUGAAUUGAAAAAAAAUAAUAAUUAAGGUUUUGAAAACCUAACCCGUGCAACGGCUUCGAGUCGCGCAGCUGACCUCCGAUCCUAAGCUGGAGCCAGAAGCUCCAGGCAUAGAACCUAGAACCCACGACCUCGUCUACCCCCAAAAACCUAACGCCAUCAUCGACGUCGCCACUGACAAAUUGACGCAUGCAUGGCUUGCAGCCAUGCACAGCCACCACGGCUGCGUUCCCCGACGACCAGAAGUUGUCCCUGUCAUGAUCUUGGCCGAGAUUCAUACGAAUUUCAUCGUAUUUCGAGCACACCCAGCAGUAGCUAGGGUGUUUUUGGUCCAUCCACGACCCCUGUCGGCCUGGUUUUGCCUCAGCC
rnacentral:lncRNA from 1 species